rnacentral:rRNA from 1 species
UAUGAGCUAAAAAAGGUAAUACUAUUUAGGAAACCUAUGCUCUUUGGCGGCCUUUUUUCUUAUUGAAGGAACUUGCUCACUAAUCGAAAUUACCCGCUCGUUUUCUCUUUUAUCUAGUUUUUAUACCGUCGUCUUAAGAAUAUCGUUAAAUAUAUUAUCCGACCCUGAUCAUUCGGGCAAGUCAGAUCAAGGUGAAGCUUUUAUAAAAGUCAUGGGUGAGUUAUGCUUAAGAGCUACUAAGGGCUUCUACUUCAAAAAGAUGCAUAAAUUAAGAUUCGACAGUACCUUAAUUCUAAAAAAAUUUAGGGAAGA